GACGAACGCUGGCGGCGUGCUUAACACAUGCAAGUCGAACGGAAAGGCCCUGCUUGCAGGGUACUCGAGUGGCGAACGGGUGAGUAACACGUGUGUGAUCUGCCCUGCACUUCGGGAUAAGCCUGGGAAACUGGGUCUAAUACCGGAUAGGAGCCAUUUUUCGUGUGAUGGUUGGAAAGUUUUUUCGGUGUAGGAUGAGCUCGCGGCCUAUCAGCUUGUUGGUGGGGUAAUGGCCUACCAAGGCGGCGACGGGUAGCCGGCCUGAGAGGGUGGACGGCCACAUUGGGACUGAGAUACGGCCCAGACUCCUACGGGAGGCAGCAGUGGGGAAUAUUGCACAAUGGGCGCAAGCCUGAUGCAGCGACGCCGCGUGGGGGAUGACGGCCUUCGGGUUGUAAACUCCUUUCGCUAGGGACGAAGCUUUUGUGACGGUACCUAGAUAAGAAGCACCGGCUAACUACGUG
rnacentral:rRNA from 1 species